GGUCUCUCCUCAGGGAUGACAUCAUCCGUCCACCUCCUUGUCUUCAAGGACCACCUCCUCUCCAUGCUGAGCUGCUGCCAAGGGGCCUGCUGCCCAUCUACACCUCACGAGGGCACUAGGAGCACGGUUUCCUGGAUCCCACCAACAUACAAAGCAGCCACUCACUGACCCCCAGGACCAGGAUGGCAAAGGAUGAAGAGGACCGGAACUGACCAGCCAGCUGUCCCUCUUACCUAAAGACUUAAACCAAUGCCCUAGUGAGGGGGCAUUGGGCAUUAAGCCCUGACCUUUGCUAUGCUCAUACUUUGACUCUAUGAGUACUUUCCUAUAAGUCUUUGCUUGUGUUCACCUGCUAGCAAACUGGAGUGUUUCCCUCCCCAAGGGGGUGUCAGUCUUUGUCGACUGACUCUGUCAUCACCCUUAUGAUGUCCUGAAUGGAAGGAUCCCUUUGGGAAAUUCUCAGGAGGGGGACCUGGGCCAAGGGCUUGGCCAGCAUCCUGCUGGCAACUCCAAGGCCCUGGGUGGGCUUCUGGAAUGAGCAUGCUACUGAAUCACCAAAGGCACGCCCGACCUCUCUGAAGAUCUUCCUAUCCUUUUCUGGGGGAAUGGGGUCGAUGAGAGCAACCUCCUAGGGUUGUUGUGAGAAUUAAAUGAGAUAAAAGAGGCCUCAGGCAGGAUCUGGCAUAGAGGAGGUGAUCAGCAAAUGUUUGUUGAAAAGGUUUGACAGGUCAGUCCCUUCCCACCCCUCUUGCUUGUCUUACUUGUCUUAUUUAUUCUCCAACAGCACUCCAGGCAGCCCUUGUCCACGGGCUCUCCUUGCAUCAGGGCUAAUCUCGGGCCUUGUCGAAGGAAGAGGCUGCAGACGUUAAUGAGGUUAGCUGCUGGAUUCCAGUAUUCGUCGCAUAAGGAUCCUUCUUUGUCUGCGAAGGAAAAACACACUGAUUAUCAUAAUGAGGCACGUGGGCCGUGGCCCGGCUGGGUCGGCUGAAGAACUGCGGAUGGAAGCUGCGGAAGAGGCCCUGAUGGGGCCCACCAUCCCGGACCCAAGUCUUCUUCCUGGCGGGCCUCUCGUCUCCUUCCUGGUUUGGGCGGAAGCCAUCACCUGGAUGCCUACGUGGGAAGGGACCUCGAAUGUGGGACCCCAGCCCCUCUCCAGCUCGAAAUCCCUCCACAGCCACGGGGACACCCUGCACCUAUUCCCACGGGACAGGCUGGACCCAGAGACUCUGGACCCGGGGCCUCCCCUUGAGUAGAGACCCGCCCUCUGACUGAUGGACGCCGCUGACCUGGGGUCAGACCCGUGGGCUGGACCCCUGCCCACCCCGCAGGAACCCUGAGGCCUAGGGGAGCUGUUGAGCCUUCAGUGUCUGCAUGUGGGAAGUGGGCUCCUUCACCUACCUCACAGGGCUGUUGUGAGGGGCGCUGUGAUGCGGUUCCAAAGCACAGGGCUUGGCGCACCCCACUGUGCUCUCAAUAAAUGUGUUUCCUGUCUUAACAAAAACUG
rnacentral:lncRNA from 1 species